rnacentral:lncRNA from 1 species
UGAGACACAGCAUCGUGUUAUUUGCUUGCCUGUUAGAUUUCUCAUGUUAAAGGCAUAAAAAUCUCCAUUCUAAAAAAGGAGAGAUUUAUGCUUCAUAGGAUGUUUUAUUGGAUUACAAAGAAUUUUUUAAAAAAGAAUUUUUCAAACAAGAAUUUUUCAAAAUUAAUUCAUUUCCUUAAUACAUCCAUUAUUUAUUUACUUUUAUUUAUGUUUUCAGUUUCCUUUAAUUGAUAGAAAAUUUACAUGCAGUAAAAUGCACAGAACUUCAGUAUACAAUUCAAUUAUUUUGGAUAAAUAUGUACACCUAGGCAAUUGACAUCUCAAUCAAGACACAGAACAUUCUCAACACUCUGGAAAGAUCCUUUGUGUCCAUUUUAGUUAUGCUUACUCCUAUCACCAACCAUGUUUCUGGUUUCUAUUGCCAUAUAUUAGUUUAUCUUGUCCUUGAAUUUCACGUAAAUGGAAUCAUACACUGUGUUCUCUUCUGUGCCUUCUUGAACUCAAUGUAACAUUUUGAGAUGCAUUUAUAUUACAGGAUGUACCUAUAAUUCAU